AGGCCUAACACAUGCAAGUCGAGCGGAUGAAGGGAGCUUGCUCCUGGAUUCAGCGGCGGACGGGUGAGUAAUGCCUAGGAAUCUGCCUGGUAGUGGGGGAUAACGUCCGGAAACGGGCGCUAAUACCGCAUACGUCCUGAGGGAGAAAGUGGGGGAUCUUCGGACCUCACGCUAUCAGAUGAGCCUAGGUCGGAUUAGCUAGUUGGCGGGGCGACGGCCCACCAAGGCGACGAUCAGUAGGGGUUCUGAGAGGAAGGUCCCCCACAUUGGAACUGAGACACGGUCCAAACUCCUACGGGAGGCAGCAGUGAGGAAUAUUGGUCAAUGGGCGAGAGCCUGAACCAGCCAAGUCGCGUGAAGGAUGACUGUCUUAUGGAUUGUAAACUUCUUUUAUACGGGAAUAACAAGAGUCACGAGUGACUCCCUGCAUGUACCGUAUGAAUAAGCAUCGGCUAACUCCGUGCCAGCAGCCGCGGUAAUACGGAGGAUGCGAGCGUUAUCCGGAUUUAUUGGGUUUAAAGGGUGCGUAGGCGGCCUGUUAAGUCAGCGGUGAAAUCUAGGAGCUUAACUCCUAAAUUGCCAUUGAUACUGGCGGGCUUGAGUGUAGAUGAGGUAGGCGGAAUGCGUGGUGUAGCGGUGGAAUGCAUAGAUAUCACGCAGAACUCCGAUUGCGAAGGCAGCUUACUAAGGUACAACUGACGCUGAAGCACGAAAGCGUGGGUAUCAAACAGGAUUAGAUACCCUGGUAGUCCACGCAGUAAACGAUGAUAACUGGGCGUAUGCGAUAUACAGUAUGCUCCUAAGCGAAAGCGUUAAGUUAUCCACCUGGGGAGUACGCCGGCAACGGUGAAACUCAAAGGAAUUGACGGU
rnacentral:rRNA from 1 species